rnacentral:rRNA from 1 species
CCCUUAGAUGUUCUGGGCCGCACGCGUGCUACACUGAGUGGAUCAGCGGGUCAGGUUGCGCGAAAGCGUUUCCUAAUCUUUAAAUCCGCUCGUGAUGGGGAUUGACGGUUGCAAUUUUCUGUCAUGAACGAGGAAUACCUUGUAAGCGCGGGUCAUCAUCCCGCGCUGAAUACGUCCCUGCCCUUUGUACACACCGCCCGUCGCUCCUACCGAUUGAAUGGUCCGGUGAAGCCUCGGGAUUGCUGUGAGUUUCCUUCAUUGGGAACUCGCGGCGAGAACUUGUCUAAACCUUAUCAUUUAGAGGAAGGUGAAGUUGUAACA